rnacentral:rRNA from 1 species
CUAUGCGCCUUGCCAGCCCGCUCAGGUGUGCCAGCCGCCGCGGUAAUACGUAGGGGGCAAGCGUUAUCCGGAUUUACUGGGUGUAAAGGGAGCGUAGACGGCAGCGCAAGUCUGGAGUGAAAUCCCAUGGCUUAACUAUGGAACUGCUUUGGAAACUGUGCAGCUAGAGUGCAGGAGAGGUAUGCGGAAUGCGUGGUGUAGCGGUGAAAUGCAUAGAUAUCACGCAGAACCCCGAUUGCGAAGGCAGCAUACCGGUGCACAACUGACGCUCAGGCACGAAAGCGUGGGUAUCGAACAGG